ACGGAAGGCAGCAGUGGGGGAUAUUGCACAAUGGAGGAAACUCUGAUGCAGCAACGCCGCGUGAGGGAAGACGGUCUUCGGAUUGUAAACCUAAGUUGUCAGGGACGAAAGAAAUGACGGUACCUGGAGAGAAAGCUCCGGCUAACUACGUGCCAGGAGCCGCGGUAAUACGUAGGGAGCGAGCGUUGUCCGGAUUUACUGGGUGUAAAGGGUGCGUAGGCGGGCUUGCAAGUCAGGCGUGAAAUCCCGUGGCUUAACCACGGGGCUGCGCUUGAAACUGUAGGUCUUGAGUGAGGUAGAGGCAAGCGGAAUUCCCAGUGUAGCGGUGAAAUGCGUAGAUAUUGGGAGGAACACCAGUGGCGAAGGCGGCUUGCUGGGCCUUAACUGACGCUGAGGCACGAAAGCAUGGGGAGCAAACAGGAUUAGAUACCCUGGUA
rnacentral:rRNA from 1 species